CGCCAUUCAAUGAUUCUUGACAAAAGCUCCAUAAUUAUUAACAGGAAUUCUUCUUGAUACCCCAGGAAUAAGCAUUUGAAUAUUCAUCAAACAUUAGUGCCUUGCAGCUUUACAAGUUAAGCUAAAAAAUUCAGGCAUUAAAGACAAGGAAUCACUUUGACCUUACAGACCAACAACUGUUCAUGCAUGAUCACAAAAGCCCAAGGAAAAUAGAA
rnacentral:misc_RNA from 1 species